AGAGUUUGAUCCUGGCUCAGGAUGAACGCUAGCGACAGGCCUAACACAUGCAAGUCGAGGGGUAACAGGGAAGCUUGCUUCCGCUGACGACCGGCGCACGGGUGCGUAACGCGUAUGCAACCUACCCAUUACAGAGGGAUAGCCCGAAGAAAUUCGGAUUAAUACCUCAUGGUCCUUAAAGGUCACCUGGCUUUAAAGGUAAAGAUUUAUCGGUAAUGGAUGGGCAUGCGUAUGAUUAGCUAGUUGGUGAGGUAACAGCUCACCAAGGCAACGAUCAUUAGGGGUUCUGAGAGGAAGGUCCCCCACACUGGUACUGAGACACGGACCAGACUCCUACGGGAGGCAGCAGUGAGGAAUAUUGGUCAAUGGACGCAAGUCUGAACCAGCCAUGUCGCGUGAAGGAUGACUGCCCUAUGGGUUGUAAACUUCUUUUAUAUGGGAAGAAUAUGAUUACGAGUAAUCAAAUGCCGGUACCAUAUGAAUAAGCAUCGGCUAACUCCGUGCCAGCAGCCGCGGUAAUACGGAGGAUGCAAGCGUUAUCCGGAUUUAUUGGGUUUAAAGGGUGUGUAGGUGGACCUUUAAGUCAGUGGUGAAAUCCUGCAGCUCAACUGUAGAACUGCCAUUGAAACUGAAGGUCUUGAGUAUAGACGAGGUAGGCGGAAUGAGUUAUGUAGCGGUGAAAUGCAUAGAUAUAACUCAGAACACCGAUUGCGAAGGCAGCUUACUAGACUAUUACUGACACUGAUGCACGAAAGCGUGGGUAGCGAACAGGAUUAGAUACCCUGGUAGUCCACGCCGUAAACGAUGCUUACUGGUUGUAUGCGAUACAUUGUAUGCGACUGAGGGAAACCAUUAAGUAAGCCACCUGGGGAGUACGUUGGCAACAAUGAAACUCAAAGGAAUUGACGGGGGCCCGCACAAGCGGUGGAACAUGUGGUUUAAUUCGAUGAUACGCGAGGAACCUUACCUGGACUUAAAUGUAGGUUGCAUGAUGCAGAGAUGUGUCUUUCUUCGGACUACUUACAAGGUGCUGCAUGGUUGUCGUCAGCUCGUGCCGUGAGGUGUCGGGUUAAGUCCCAUAACGAGCGCAACCCCUAUCGUUAGUUGCCAUCAGGUCAUGCUGGGCACUCUAGCGAGACUGCCGGUGUAAACCGCGAGGAAGGUGGGGAUGACGUCAAAUCAGCACGGCCCUUACGUCCAGGGCUACACACGUGUUACAAUGGUCGGUACAGAGGGCAGCUACUAUGCGAAUAGAUGCAAAUCUCGAAAGCCGGUCUCAGUUCGGAUUGGAGUCUGCAACUCGACUCCAUGAAGUUGGAAUCGCUAGUAAUCGCGUAUCAGCAAUGACGCGGUGAAUACGUUCCCGGGCCUUGUACACACCGCCCGUCAAGCCAUGGAAGCUGGGGGUACCUAAAGUUCGUAACCGCAAGGAGCGACCUAGGGUAAAACUGGUAACUGGGGCUAAGUCGUAACAAGGUA
rnacentral:rRNA from 1 species